UGUCUUCGGGGUUGGGUGAAAUUCCCUACCGGCAGUAUAGUCUGCGAACUGUUUUGCAUUGAGCCUUGUUGAUUGACAAGUGUCUAUUGACAAGAGUCCUGGCAAAGACAGCCGAUCCGGUGCGAUUCCGGGACCGACAGUAUAGUCUGGAUGGGAGAAGGCG
rnacentral:ncRNA from 1 species